GACGUAGGGCGCGAGCGUUGUCCGGAUUUAUUGGGCGUAAAGAGCUCGUAGGCGGCUUGUCACGUCGAAUGUGAAAACUUGGGGCUCAACUCCAAGCUUGCAUUCGAUACGGGCAGGCUAGAGUUCGGUAGGGGAGACUGGAAUUCCGUGGUGUAGCGGUGAAAUGCGCAGAGUAUCAGGAGGAACGAGCCGGUGGCGAAAGGGCGGGGUCCUCC
rnacentral:rRNA from 1 species